AGCAACUCAUCCCCUUCGAAAAGUAGGUAUCCCUUCAAGGAACCCCUAGAGCUGCCUCAUAGCCAAGCCUGAAAGCUAAUUCAAUCAGACUGGAAACCACCCUGUGCCUCCAAAUGUCUCAGCGUGGGAAAUGGAAGACAGCAGAUGUAGUGGAAGUCCCUCCACUGGAAAGAUAACGCACUCCCUAACCCUUGCCGAGGUUACGGCUAUGGGGUACUCACCUCUGCAGUUUUUGGCUAAGAAAUGCCAAGGAUAGCCAUGUAUUUCAAGAACAACUCUGUUGUGAGAAAUUCCAGCACAUUCCACUCUGGGAGCACCAACAUCUUCACCCUUUUUUUGUAGUUAGAACUUGCACCAGGGGAGAGCCUUUGUCCCUGCCUGGAGGGGCCACAUGGAGGAAGGGGAAUAAGACAGCAGAAAGCACAGGGACUUGGGUGGCAGAGCUGCCAGGCCAAACCCCAGCUCUGCCACUUAAAAGAUCUGUGACCUUGGGCAAGUUAUUUAACCUUUCUGAACUUCAGUUCCCAUAUCCAAAAGGUAGGAUAAUUAAUCGUCCCUACAGCUUAUAGGACUGUCUUUGGGGUUUAUAGGAGGGAUUUUUUUCAAGUGCUUUAUAAACUACUCCCAAAUGUUAGCUCUAUUUACACUGAUUUUAUUGCUGGGCUCCUAGGAGGCCAGAUGCAGCAGACUUAGUUUCUACUAAAGGUCUUUUAUUACAACAGACGCCAGGCAUCUAGGGCAGCCUGUUGUCUGAAGAACAGCCUGCUUCUCCCACAAGAAUCCCAUAAUCCCAGGCUCUAUACAACAUCUAAGUCUCGAUGCCAGGCCCUGGCUGACACUCCGACCCACUCCCAGGGAGGCCUGGUCUGGGUUGUUGUUACCCUGGGGGUCUCGUUUGUCCUGCUGUGAAGGGCAAAGGAACCCCCCGUAGGGUUGAGGGGGGAGAUCAAAGGACACUUCAGUGGGGUCAGAGACUGCCUGAGAGUGACUCAGUGGGCAGGAAGUUCGGCCCCAUGCCUCACCGGCCUUCUGGCCCACUUUACAUUCAAUAUAAUACCUGCCCACACCGCCACUCUCCAUCCAAAAUCAGGUCCCCAAGCGGCUGAUGAUACAGGAAAUGGCCCUACAUCUCCCAUCCCAGGGUUCAGUCCCUGACUCAGAACUGGGAAAGGGACCGGGCACCAUCUCGCAGAUGCCCCAAAGACUUGGAAAGCACUCUGGUGGCUUUCUGAGCAGGCACAUCUGGCCCAACCACACCUUUCGUCGCCACUGUUUAAAACCAGUGGUUCUCAGACAGAGGGGCUCGCCAGCAGGGUCAACAUCACGUAGAUACUUGUUACAGAUGUGGACUCUCAGCCCCCUCAGACCUACAGGUUCAGAGACCCUGGGAAUGGGGCCAGCCGUUUGUUUGAAGACGUGCUCCCUGGGGGAUUCUAGUGCACGCUCAAGUUUGAGAACCAUGACUUCAAUCCAGUGUUCCCCACCUGCUCCUCUCCCAUCUGCCUGUCGUCAGAACCAGCUGGGGGCCUCAUGACAGCCAAUGCUCUGGAGCUACCCCAGAGAUCUGGAUGUCACUGAUGCCACCUCAUCAGCACUUCCUUUUAGAAGCUCUUUGAAAAGAACAGGAGGUGCAGAAGAUUCCUGUGGCUGUGAGACUGCUCUGCAUGGUGACUGUGAAUCCAGUGGUCUCUGGGCUGAUGCUUGGGAGGCAGAGAGGAAAGCCAGGCCUCAGAAACAGCAGGUAAAACCACCUGGUUGUGGAGUCAUCUAGGAAGAUUCUAGAUGGAGGGAAGUCAGACUGAGGGCUGAAGUAAGGAGAGAGGGGUGGGGGAAGAAAGCAGAGAGCAAGGGCUUAGAAGCACUUCCUCGGAGCGCACCCAGCCCCUCCUGCAUCCAACACGCACUGAACGCCUUCCUUCCCCACAUCCCCUCCACCCCGUCAGUGGGUCAAGUGCUGGCCUGGGACUCACCCCACUUAGUGGCAGGGUCCCCUCUUCUAGCGAGUGAACUGAGCCACUCAUCCAUGUGUAGCUGCUUCAACCUCAUCUGUAAACAGGGUACUGUGGGGCUGACUGAGACACAGCCCAGCGCCUGGCACAGGGCAAACAAGUAAUAAAUGCAGGUUUUAAUAAACUGAUUGACAGAGACUGGAGCCCACAUCUGCUGCAUGGAAAACAGCAUCCAGACAACGGAUGGUCUUGUCUCCUGCCAAUACCACCUGUCUGGCUUGGAGGUUAGACUUAAAGCACAGGAGAGAACCCUGGAUCUCCAUGACCAGAAACAGACCCUAUAUUCCCAAAGACAAGCUGAAACCACUGGGACAAAAAUACGCGCACGCACACACACACACACACACACAGAGAGAGAACAAAAAACCUUCAAUCUGUAAAUGUUCACUGUCUAUUCUAACUAGACGCUGGGCCAGGGCUGGGGGUGCAGAACACAUACCCCCUUAAUUACAGAGGGGCUCCAGUCCAGUGAAGAGCAAGAAAGAUGCCGCUGGGGCUACUGGCUUCUCAGCAGGUGGCCCAUCCUUGGAGCCUGUAUCACUCCCAGCAAGGGGAGCUUCAGGAGGAGGGGCAUCUAUGUCCUGAUAUGCACGGUGGCUUGAGAACCAAUGUUCUAGAGAAUCUAAGAGCAUAUAUUACAGAAAACAGCACUCUCUCUGCCUCUCGUGGCUUUUUUCCCCUUUUGUUUAUUUCUUUUAUAAGCCUUUUGUAGAAAGCAAGCACAUGUUGUAAAUGAACAACUUUAAUAUUCACGAACUGACAAGAAGAAGGCUGAGGAGAGGACACUUGCAGGACAUCAGCAGGCUCCUCACGUUCCCACCCGGCACCCUGUCCCCAAAGGUGAUUGCUAGCCUGCCUCCUGUCUCCAGAGAGCAGCUUGUCCUGGUCAAGAUCUUCACAUAAAUUGAAUCAUAAAUUAAAUCUGCCUCUGCGUCUGGCAUCUUUGGCCGAGUUUCACGCUUAUGGGACUCAUCCAUGGUUCAUUCUCAUCGCUGUAUUUAAUACAACUCCAUGACCAGAUGAUAACACGGUUCAUGUACCCAUUCUAUGCCAGUGGGCAUGCAUGCUCUCUCCUCUUUGGAGAGAGGAACAACACUGCUGCUGGAAACAUUCAUUCUACAUGUGCCUUUUGGUGGACACAGCCCUCCUUUCUCUUGGGAAUCUGCUGGGGAGGAUUUGCAGGGCCAAAGGGUCAGCAUACCCUCAGCUUUAACCAAGCCAUGUUUCCAGAUCCAUUAACCCCCAGCCCCCUACUAUGCUUCAUUUUUCUCCCUGUUCCUCUCCCCCACCUCACUCACUACCCACACUUAUUUCCGUUUUCAGUCUCUAAGCACAUCAUGAAGGCAGGGAUUUGGGGUUUGUUCACUGGGACUCCCCUGAGCCUUGGCACUGCCUAGCCCCGAGCAGAUUCUCAAGGGCAUACACAGGCACCCGAACUUUUGCAUUCACCUGUGCAUGAGCUCGGGACUCCUCUCAGCUGUCUCCUCCCAUAUCUCCCUCCCACAGCGCCUUCCCAAAGUCCAAGGACCCAAUCCUCAUCCAGUCCUAGCCCCCACCGCCAGUCAGGCCUCAGGUAGAAACUAAAGGUCCCCAGCAGUUCUUGCCAUUCCCUGGGACAGAGCGUACAGGCUCUUAGGAGAAGUUCAGCCUCAAGUUUCAGCCCUGUGAAGCCGGCCAACUGGAGUAGCAAUGACUCCAGACCUUCCUGAGCACUGGCUGGGGUCUGAGCACCUAGCAGACAGAAGGAGCAGCUGGGACACUCAGUGAGCUCACAGCUAGGAAGGCAAAUCAGGCAGCCUGAUGAGGCUGGGGCAGGUGAGGUGUUUAGGUCACAGGAGAGCUCCAGUGAAGCUGAACCCCACCCAAUCUGGGGAAAGGAGGGAGGGCUUCACAGAGGAAGUGUCUCAAGAGUUGCCUCUUCCAAGAUGCCCAGGGUUCCCCAAAUAGAGAAGGCUGGGGUCAUGGUGUGAGUAGGGACUAGCAUGUGCAAAGCAGGAGAGUGGCCUGGGCGCAGCAGGGUUGAGAGGCAAAGCCCACCCCUGGCCAAGCAGAGGGAACUAUGGGGAAAGGAGUCAGAAAGACCACAGGGGACGAUAGUGGCAGAGACCGAGAACCGCCAGGCCAAGGCCUCUGGGGUCACCCAAGGGCAUGUGGCAUGUGCAGGCUUCCGCAGCUUACCCAUGCGGAGAAGGCGCCUGCAACCUUGGUGAACUGCAGACUGACUCCGCAGGCCUGGGGGCUCAGAAGUCUGCAUUUCUCAUGGGUACCCCAUCAGUGCAGUUGUCACUGGUUCCCAGACCACACUGGGAGCAGCAAGGGCUUAGUUAGGGAAGCAGAAUUAGGAGACCUCAGCAGUGUACCCCCUCAAGGGAAGAGGGACCAAGAGGGGUGCAGUGAUGCGGAAGAGGAACCAGAGCCUUAAGCAGCUCAGCCCACUCAAGGCCGGCUCUCGGUGCAUCAGCCACAGCUCUACUUUACACAGCCAGCCCAUUCCAGAACCUUCCACACCACCUCGGAGCAGCACCUCUCCUCCAGAGCCUCAGACCCUGGUGUUGCCAUGGCAACAACCCACAAACAGGGGGAGCCCAGGCUUCAGUGCCAUAAACAACUCUGACAGAUUCAACAAAUAAAGAUGUACUACAGCAAUUUGUGGGGAAUUUAUGAGAAAUUAAAAAUUCAACUUGGACAAUAAACAACCCAUUUCAGAAUUUGCCCCACUUAAAGUUAAAUAAACCGCAUGCGAGCA